rnacentral:lncRNA from 1 species
AUGGCUCCGCCGCCGCCGCGCUCUCCUCACUCGCUCUUCCACCGCCCCCGACCGGCUAAUGAAGAGCGGACGAACAGUGGCACGCCCAUUGGCUGCGACCCGCACUCGCGUCAGCCGGCCCCGACCCGGACCUCGCGAUGUCACUGGCUGGCGCGGCGCUUCUUUUCCACGUCCGGCCCUGAUUGGCUGUCUCGUGCCCCCUCACCGGGAGGACCGCUCACCCUCCUCCCGGCUUCAGCACCCCCGCCCCCAACCCGGUCUCCAGCCUGGCGGGAGGGGGGCGGGAGCAGGCGCGGGUGGGAUGCGAACCGCCAAUGGGAGCCCCGAGAGACGCCCGGGAGGUGGGCGCUGCGGCCGGCCGGCCGGCCCGCCGAGGGAAGUGCAGCCAAUGGGCGCGCGCCCCACAUCCCGGGUUCAGGAGCGCCCCCACCCUGGCCGCUGACGUUCGGGCGGGUGGCGCCCAGGGCCACGCCCGGCUGUCGGUCGUGCCGAAGGGGCACCCGCUCCAAAGGUGGGAAGAAUGCGGCGAGGCCGGCGCGGGAGAGCCCGGGGCAGCCAUUGUGGCGUGCUCCGUAUCGCCUACGUGGGGCCCGGAGCGCCUUUUGGUGGGGCUGGUUCAGGUGGACAAUGUCCCCAGAGAAAGCUGGCAGAAGACACAAGUUAAGAGAAUCCAGUAGAGCCAAACACUGCCUGAAGAAGCAAGUUGGGGCCUUUUUGAGAGGGUUUAAUAAUUUCUGUAGGAGACAAACAAAGAAAACAGAACAGCGCCUUUUCCUCAGCAAUCUGCCUCAGCUGUUUUCGUUGCAAGAGACUGAGAAACAUUCAAGUAACAGCUCCGGUAGUCACAGAAAUAAAAAGACCGGAAUUUCAGGCACAUGGGAAGGCCCAUGGGAACUCAGGAAAGGACAAAAAGCCAUUUGCUGGGCAGUGACAGUUCCUCGUUUGGCUUCCCAAUAUUCCUCUUUUCCCCUUCUUAACACCCCAAUUUCCUUUUUUUCCCCCAUUGCCUCUUCCACUCUGAUUAAUGCAGUAAUUAUUUGGGACUUGGCUUAUGACCCAAGCUAG